UGCAAGUCGAGCGAACAGACGAGGAGCUUGCUCCUCUGACGUUAGCGGCGGACGGGUGAGUAACACGCGGAUAACCUACCUAUAAGACUGGGAUGACUUCGGGAAACCGGAGCUAAUACCGGAUAAUAUAUUGAACCGCAUGGUUCAAUAGUGAAAGACGGUUUUGCUGUCACUUAUGGAUGGAUCCGCGCCGCAUUAGCUAGUUGGUAAGGUAACGGCUUACCAAGGCGACGAUGCGUAGCCGACCUGAGAGGGUGAUCGGCCACACUGGAACUGAGACACGGUCCAGACUCCUACGGGAGGCAGCAGUAGGGAAUCUUCCGCAAUGGGCGAAAGCCUGGCGGAGCAACGCCGCGUGAGUGAUGAAGGUCUUCGGAUCGUAAAACUCUGUUAUUAGGGAAGAACAAAUGUGUAAGCAACUAUGCACGUCUUGACGGUACCUAAUCAGAAAGCCACGGCUAACUACGUGCCAGCAGCCGCGGUAAUACGUAGGUGGCAAGCGUUAUCCGGAAUUAUUGGGCGUAAAGCGCGCGUAGGCGGUUUUUUAAGUCUGAUGUGAAAGCCCACGGCUCAACCGUGGAGGGUCAUUGGAAACUGGAAAACUUGAGUGCAGAAGAGGGAAGUGGAAUUCCAUGUGUAGCGGUGAAAUGCGCAGAGAUAUGGAGGAACACCAGUGGCGAAGGCGACUUUCUGGUCUGCAACUGACGCUGAUGUGCGAAAGCGUGGGGAUCAAACAGGAUUAG
rnacentral:rRNA from 1 species